GUCUACAAUCUUAUGACUCUGGAUGAGCCCAAAGCCUCCUCUCGAAAGCUAAGCAGGGCUGAGUCUGGUUAUUCUUGGAUGGCAGGGGACCUGGGGAUAUGGUUGCUGUAGGCG
rnacentral:rRNA from 1 species